UUCUCCUUGAUCUCCAGCAUCUCCAGGUUCUCCCUCGACACCUGGUGGUCCAUCAUGUCCAACUUCAAAGUUGUCAACUCCCGGUGGUCCUGGUGGUCCCUGCUCUCCUGGCUCUCCGUCUGGACCUGGAGGUCCUGGCUCUCCGACUGG
ensembl:ncRNA C39E9.18 ncRNA